UCAAGCCAAUGUGAUACAAUAUGCAAAUUCCAAGUCCUUACAUGCAAAAACAAUUAUUUAAGCAUCCUUAUUUUAUAUCCUUAGUGGAAAUCUCUUCUUGUCUAGCCAUCAUUAUCUGAGGCAAGCUGCUGUAAGAAAUCUAUUACUUUGUGCUGCCAAGCUAUUAGAAGAGACGUCGAAAAUAUCCUCUUUAAAACUCUUGUGCUUC
rnacentral:lncRNA from 1 species